UUAUCUAUCCAAUCCUGUUAUGUACAUAACACACAAGACCUAAAUCAGAUACGGAGAGUAUAUCAAAUUGAAGCCUAAACAUGGAUAUUCUUCCUCCGCCGCUUCCUUCUCUUCCUCCUUGCAUUCAGAUGGUAACUGAAGCAAUUUCUAGCUUGAAAGCAGAAUCUGGAUUAAGUCAACAUGAAAUUGCAAAGUUUAUUGAAGAGAAGUAUUAUGUAGGUAGGCUUCCGCAGAGUUAUAAAAAAACGUUAUUGAAGGAGUUAAAUGAAUUGGCAAAAUCAGGGAGGUUGGUGAAAGGUAAGAGAUCAUUUAAGCUACCAGAGAAGGUGGAAAAAAAUUCUGCUGAAAUCGAAAAGAAAAAAAAAGAAGAAAAAAGUUAAAGUUAAAGAAGCGGUAACGGAGGGUGAGGAGGAGAUGAUUGGGAUCCGAAAGUAUUUAGAGUAUUAUGAGAGGUUGAAUCAAUUGAUGAUACCAAGUCUUUCGAAGGAAGAAUUGAUUCAGAAAGAGAAAGCGAACCUAGGGGAUUGGAAGAAGGUCGCAGUGAUAAGCAGCUCGGACCUUUCCCUCGUUUUAUCCUUGGAGAAUUUGAUGCAAGUACAGCAUGAGCAGCUUGACUUGGUGAGAUUUGUUAAUCCUAGGUUUUGGUUCCUUCUGUUAUUUGAUGCAAGUACAACAUGAGCAGCAUGACUUGACAUUGGUACUAAAUGUAGGUCACUCAUACAGCAGGAAACCACACUUGCCAAAAUACGGAGUUUGGAGGAUAGUUAUAACAAGAAGCUAUGGGAUAUGCAAUUGAGUCAAAGGAAUGAUCAAGAAGAAAAGGAUCUCUAUGAGUGAAGGAAUGAGAUUAUCAAAUCACUUCCUAAGUUCUGGUCAACUGCUUUUAUGAGUGAUGAUUCGCUUAAAAGACGCCUGAAUAAAGAAGACAAGAAGAUAAUCAAGUUUCUCCGUACUGUGGAUGUUGAAGGUCAUCCAGAUGUGACACCUGAGUGCACAAUCACUUUAAACUUUGAUAAGAAUCCGUACUUCAAAAAUUCAAGUCUCACAAAGAACUUUAAGAUCUCCGAAAAAGGAAUCUUUGACGUACGGUGCACCCCAGUCAUAUGGAAGAAUGGCAAGGGCAAUACAGCUGUACUUGAAGAAAAGUCGAGUAAGCAGUCGCAUACUGAUAUGCCUAAAAGCUUCUUUACAUGGUUCGAAGAUCCCACGGAAAGUUCAAUGACGAGGCAACUUGUUUUCCCUUUCCUAAGUUUCGAGUUAUGAAAGAUGCAAUGUGCAUCAUUAUUAUAUGUCUAAUUAUGAUCCAAAAAAGGCAUUGUAUCAAAAUGGUGUUAGUUUUCUGUUUUCCCCUUUUUCAUUGCUACUGGUAUGAUUUCUUGUUCUGUCACAUGCUCCCUUAUGUUGCUACCUAAGUUGCAAAGUCUCAUCAUUUUUCUUUUGCUAAUCACCAUUACUGGACCGCAAGAGGUGGAAGACUUUCACAUCAUUUCUGCUCACCUAGUUACCACUGAUACCAUUUCAUAUUCUGUUGUUCAUUUGCUCUGAAGUCUUGCGGAUUUAUUAUUGACGAAAUAACUUCACAGUCCAAAGUCUCAUCAUUUUUCUUUUGCUAAUUACCAUUACUGGACGCAAGAGGUGGAAGACUUUCACAUCGUUUCUGCUCACCUAGUUACCACUGAUACCAUUUCCUAUUCUGUUGUUCAUUUGCUCUGAAGUCUUGCGGAUUUAUUAUUGACGAAAUAACUUCACAGUUCCGGUGGAGCUCUUUUUUCCUUGUCUGUUGUAUGUCAUGUUGAUUUUGCUGCCCCUACUUUUGCAGGUGGCUAAUUUAAUCGCAUGUGAUUUAUGGUGUUAUGCUCCGUACUAUUAUGUCAAUGCAACGCCAAACGUGUAUUGACAAUGAGCUAAAUUGGGGCGACAUGGACAAGUAACGCACCGGAAAUGACACGACUUGUUUCUUUCAAGUAGAUCUGCUUCAGUGCUUGGCCAAAUCAAAUGACUUUCGAUAGCACCUAUGUGUUCAGUUGAGAUAGAUGUAUAAAUAAUCUACAUUGAUAAAUAUGUGUAGAUAAUCUACAUUAAUUUGGCAUUAAGCUGUAAGAUGAUAGGUAACAAGUAUUUUGGUAGUGGUUCUUGCGGGAUUCUCCUUUUUGUUCUG